AUGAGCAUGGAACCAUCUUGGGUCGUAACUUGCGACUCGGGUUGGUCCAUGGAAGAAGCAGCAGCUGCGUGGAGUAGUGAGCAUAGGAUUAGCUUCCAAACAUCCCUGCCUAGCCAUAGUGAUAGCCAUAGCGGAGUGCAGCAGCAGGUGGUUGAGUAUGCAUCCCCAUCCCCAUCCCCAGUCCCAGCCACACACGAUAACAACCGUAGUUAUCCUAUCCAGGUGUUCAAGGAAGCAGUGGAAGAGUUCAAUGCCAACUAUUCUAAAAUUAUGGCACAGAAGAUGCACAGAUUCCCUCCAAGCCUGGUAGAUGUCGAUAUACGGUACAGGGAGCCGGUGACUGUGGCCAUCGGCCCUAUCCACCAUGCUCGUCUCUCGUAUGUCGAGGGCGGUCUCUCGGAGGCGGAGAGCGUGAAGCAUGUGGCGGCCGACCAAUGCAUCGCGCACUCGAGCCGCUCACUCGAGGAGAUGUACACUAAGGUCUCCUCAGUGUCAGGCUUGGCCCGCAGACUCUACCACCCUAGUGAUGUGGUGAAAUUCGGCCACCGCGACGAUUUUGUGCCGAUGAUGUUCUUUGAUGCUUGCUUCUUGGUGCAGUUCAUGCGUUGGCAUUAUCUCCCCGACAAAGGCAUGCACCACGCCCUGAACAGCUAUUUCUACGCCAACCGCGAGCGCAUCCGCACCGACAUCAUGAUGCUUGAGAACCAGAUCCCUUGGGUCGUGGUCAAAACCAUCUUAGACUUCAUGCCGCCAGCGCCCUUGGACUGGAGCUGUCCCUGGGAGGCGUUCGUCAAGGCGAUGAGAAGGGGCCUGAAAAACAAAAUCGGUCGUGACGACAACAUCGACGUACUUCCCGGCCAUCACCCGCCGCAUGUCCUCGGGCUCGUCUGGCACUACAUCGUGGGAAAUAAGAACCAAGACCCCCUCCCUCCCAACGACGAUGACGAUGAAGACCCCAUCCCCCCCAACGACGACGACGACGAUGAAGACCCCAUCCCCCCCAACGACAACAACAACGACAACGACAACGACAACAACAACGACAAUACCAACAACAAGCCCAUGGCAAUUUCUAUCACCGUUGACGAGCUUGCCGACAUCGGUAUCACUCUGCUACCCAAGGAAAAUGCAGGGCUAGUGGAGAUGCAGAUCGAAAAGAGAACUUGGUGCUUCUUCAAGGUCGCCAAACUCUUCGUGGGGCCCCUGUACCUGACCGAGGCAAAUGCGACAUGGCUCGUCAACAUGGCGGCCUUCGAGUCAUGCAAGACCCCAAAUUUCCUCCAUCCGAGUGUUCUUCCAAGCGAGUCUGCUGUCUGCUCCUACCUCCACCUCUUCGCCAUGCUGCUGGACCGGAAAGAGCACGUGCAUAACCUGCAAAAAAAAAAAGUCAUCGAAGGAGGAGGACUCACCAGCAAGGAGGCGCUUGAUUUCUUCACUUCCAUUGGCAAGAACAUGCGCAUCGGAUCAUUCUACGUCGACAUAAUAGUAGAUAUCCAUUACUACGACCUCCAAAAGUCAGAUUUGGCCAGGUUUAUCCACUACCUUGGGAGGAACAAGACUAAACUCGCGGGCCUGCUCUCCAUCAUUGCUGCAGUGGCCGGCAUAUUGUCGUCGCUCCAAGCUCUCAAGCCAAGCUAG
rnacentral:rRNA from 1 species